AUGAAGAAGAAGAAUGGGACUGGUGGUGGCAGUAGGAUUCUUGCAUUGUGGGAAAAAGCUUCAAAAGCAAAGAAGAUUGAUGAAACGUCUACACCAAAUCAGAGUGCAGCUGCAUCGGGUACUUGUACCUCUCAUGUUCAGCUUGAGAGCAAUUUGCAAUUGGAGUUAGUGCAAGCACCGGAUGCGGAAUGUGAACCGGAGAGCAGAGAAGCAACCCCAACCCCAAUUGAUAAAGAUGCUGAAACAAGUGAUGCAGAUGAUGAACCAAUGGAAGCAGAUUUGGAGGCACUCGAACCUGAUCCUGGGAAGCGGAUUCCCAUCUCAAUGUAUGCUGUCAAUGACCAAGAUAGAGUAAGAAGAAGAUAUAUUGAGAUGAAGCCAUGUCAACCAAAGAAUCAUAACUUUGAGUAUACAAAUAAAAGUGGAGUUGACCGUCGCUUUUGUCGUGCUUGGUUUAAAGAAUUUCCAUGGAUUGAGUAUAGUGUGACAAAAGAUAGUGCUUUCUGCUUUGUUUGCUAUCUGUUCAAGGAUAAGACAAAAUAUCCCGGUGGAGAUGCAUUUGUGAAGAAUGGAUUUAGGAACUGGAGCAUGAAAUCGAGAUUGAAGAAACAUGAAGGUGAGGUUAGUAGUGCUCAUGCUGAAGCUCAAGAGAAGUAUGAUAUGUUCACUACACCACAAACAUCAAUUAGGGAGUUUUUUGCUUCAAACACCUCACAAUAUAAGGCUUUGUAUAAGCAGCGUUUGACAUGGACACUCAAAUGUUUGAGAUUUCUAUUGCACCAAGGCUUGGCAUUUAGAGGACAUGAUGAAAGUGAAAACUCACUAAAUAAAGGAAAUUUUCUUGAGCUUUUAAAUUGGCUAGCUGGAAAUUUUGAAGAGGUUGAUAGGGUUGUUCUCAAAAAUGCUCCACAGAACUGCAAGAUGACUCACCAUGAUAUACAACAUGAGUUAAUAAAAUGUUGUGCACAGGAGACUACAAAAUUAGUCAUUGAAGAACUUGAUGGUGGCCACUUUGCAAUACUUGCAGAUGAGUCUAGUGAUGUGUAUCAAAAUGAACAGUUGGAAAUUUGCUUGCGUUAUGUUGAUAAGAAAGGAAGGGCUGUUGUAAGAUUUCUUGGUCUUGCUCAUGUUCAAGAUACUACCUCUUUGAUGCAUUGGAAUUGGAAGAAGUAG
rnacentral:rRNA from 1 species